rnacentral:lncRNA from 1 species
GGGGACCGGAUGUGAGGUUCAGUGUCCCCCAACGUGCCGCUAGUGGGCUGUACAGGUCACCCUCUCCCACGGUGCCCGCCGACCCUGGGGUGUCUGUCUCUCUGCGGGUAGGAGGGCGCCAUGGGCGCGCCGCCGCCCGCUCCCCGCAGCCGCCUUUGCGGAGCCUGGGGUCCUUUCCCCCGAGUCUUUGCUGCCGGUGCGGUGGCUGCGGAUUCCCCAGGCUUUGUGGAGGAUCGGGAGCAGCGUUCAGGUGUCUCAGACCCCGGUUCCCUGGAAUCCGGAUGGGACCGCCUCCGGCAGCUGUUUGCCAAAGAGUAAAAAUGUCUCGGGUGUGUGGGGAGGGAUGCUCGGGGGACGGCCGCAGCCCGGGCGAGCUCCAGCGCGCGGUCCCUGCGACGCUGAAAGUUCUCUCUGCCCGGAUAGUGUCCGACCUGGUUGACAUGCAGCCUUCUGAGUCGGAUUCACUCAGAGUCACACUCUUAAGACAGUAUCGUUCUCGUGAAACCAGUACCCUAACUUUACAUAUUAGAAAAAUUGGAUUCAUUCGAUUAUUGUCAUGUAGUAUCACUGGGAACUAUAUUGUGAAGUCUACACUAAUAUUGUUUUUUCGUAUUUCGUUUGAUUUUUCUUUGUCAGUAAUGGCUUUAUAUACUCCAGAAGCUGGAAGGACAGAGAGAAUUGUUAAUUUAUCAUUAUUAUUUUGCAC